GACGAACGCUGGCGGCGUGCCUAAUACAUGCAAGUCGAGCGAGACUCUUCGGAGUCUAGCGGCGGACGGGUGAGUAACACGUGGGCAACCUGCCUGUAAGACUGGAAUAACACCGGGAAACCGGUGCUAAUACCGGAUAAUCCUUUUCUUCUCAUGAGGAAAAGCUGAAAGUCGGUUUCGGCUGACACUUACAGAUGGGCCCGCGGCGCAUUAGCUAGUUGGUGAGGUAACGGCGCACCAAGGCGACGAUGCGGAGCCGACCUGAGAGGGUGAUCGGCCACACUGGGACUGAGACACGGCCCAGACUCCUACGGGAGGCAGCAGUAGGGAAUCUUCCACAAUGGACGAAAGUCUGAUGGAGCAACGCCGCGUGAGCGAUGAAGGCCUUCGGGUCGUAAAGCUCUGUUGUUAGGGAAGAUCAAGUACCGGAGUAACUGCCGGUACCUUGACGGUACCUAACCAGAAAGCCACGGCUAACUACGUGCCAGCAGCCGCAGUAACAC
rnacentral:rRNA from 1 species